rnacentral:rRNA from 1 species
GAUGAACGCUGGCGGCGUGCCUAAUACAUGCAAGUCGAGCGAACGGACGAGAAGCUUGCUUCUCUGAUGUUAGCGGCGGACGGGUGAGUAACACGUGGAUAACCUACCUAUAAGACUGGGAUAACUUCGGGAAACCGUAGCUAAUACCGGAUAAUAUUUUGAACCGCAUGGUUCAAAAGUGAAAGACGGUCUUGCUGUCACUUAUAGAUGGAUCCGCGCUGCAUUAGCUAGUUGGUAAGGUAACGGCUUACCAAGGCAACGAUGCAUAGCCGACCUGAGAGGGUGAUCGGCCACACUGGAACUGAGACACGGUCCAGAAUCCUACGGGAGGCAGCAGUAGGGAAUCUUCCGCAAUGGGCGAAAGCCUGACGGAGCAAAACCGCGUGAGUGAUGAAGGUCUUCGGAUCGUAAAACUCUGUUAUUAGGGAAGAACAUAUGUGUAAGUAACUGUGCACAUCUUGACGGUACCUAAUCAGAAAGCCACGGCUAACUACGUG